UCCCUGGUGGCUCAGCUGGUAAAGAAUCCGCCUGUGAUGCAGGAGACCCAGGUUCGAUCCCUGGGUUGGGAA
rnacentral:tRNA from 1 species